UACGGGGGGGGCAAGCGUUGUUCGGAAUUACUGGGCGUAAAGGGCUCGUAGGUGGCCAACUAAGUCAGACGUGAAAUCCACAGGCUCAACUUGGGAACUGCGUCUGAUACUGGAUGGCUUGAAUUCGGGAGAGGGAUGCAGAAUUCCAGGUGUAGCGGUGAAAUGCGUAGAUAUCUGGAGGAAUACCGGUGGCGAAGGCGGCAUCCUGGACCGAGAUUGACACUGAUGAGCGAAAGCUAGGGGAGCAAACGGG
rnacentral:rRNA from 1 species